GAUGAACGCUGGCGGCGUGCCUAAUACAUGCAAGUCGAGCGAACAGAUGAGGAGCUUGCUCCUCUGACGUUAGCGGCGGACGGGUGAGUAACACGUGGAUAACCUACCUAUAAGACUGGGAUAACUUCGGGAAACCGGAGCUAAUACCGGAUAAUAUAUUGAACCGCAUGGUUCAAUAGUGAAAGACGGUUUUGCUGUCACUUAUAGAUGGAUCCGCGCCGCAUUAGCUAGUUGGUAAGGUAACGGCUUACCAAGGCAACGAUGCGUAGCCGACCUGAGAGGGUGAUCGGCCACACUGGAACUGAGACACGGUCCAGACUCCUACGGGAGGCAGCAGUAGGGAAUCUUCCGCAAUGGGCGAAAGCCUGACGGAGCAACGCCGCGUGAGUGAUGAAGGUCUUCGGAUCCUAAAACUCUGUUAUUAGGGAAGAACAAAUGUGUAAGUAACUAUGCACGUCUUGACGGUACCUAAUCAGAAAGCCACGGCUAACUACGUG
rnacentral:rRNA from 1 species